rnacentral:rRNA from 1 species
UAGGGAAUCUUCGGCAAUGGACGAAAGUCUGACCGAGCAACGCCGCGUGAGUGAAGAAGGUUUUCGGAUCGUAAAACUCUGUUGUUAGAGAAGAACAAGGACGUUAGUAACUGAACGUCCCCUGACGGUAUCUAACCAGAAAGCCACGGCUAACUACGUGCCAGCAGCCGCGGUAAUACGUAGGUGGCAAGCGUUGUCCGGAUUUAUUGGGCGUAAAGCGAGCGCAGGCGGUUUCUUAAGUCUGAUGUGAAAGCCCCCGGCUCAACCGGGGAGGGUCAUUGGAAACUGGGAGACUUGAGUGCAGAAGAGGAGAGUGGAAUUCCAUGUGUAGCGGUGAAAAGCGUAGAUAUAUGGAGGAACACCAGUGGCGAAGGCGGCUCUCUGGUCUGUAACUGACGCUGAGGCGCGAAAGCGUGGGGAGCAAACAGG